rnacentral:rRNA from 1 species
AUGUUCGCCUGGUUACUACUACAAAAUCGGAUGUGGUGCAACGACAGGCUUCAUUGGAGAGGAUGGGAGAACAACUACUUUUGCCAGCUUUGCCUUCGAAACCUGCAAACCUCCCAACACUUAUUUUGGAGCCGCCCUUUAGCAAAGAAGGUGUGGAGCAAAAUUUCACAAUGGAAGGGUUGCAUCUCGCUAACCCCACGUGAGGAAUGGCGGCAACAAUCUACCUCAACGACCAUGCAUGACAGCAUCGAGAGAACGAAAGCAGGCAAAAGGAAGGGAGGCACUAACUUGCUGGGAGAUAUGGCAAGAACGCAACAACAACAACACCUUCAGGGGAAAAGUUUCUGCAUCAAAGGAUACCAUUGA